rnacentral:rRNA from 1 species
AGAGUUUGAUCCUGGCUCAGAACGAACGCUGGCGGCAGGCCUAACACAUGCAAGUCGAGCGCGCCCUUCGGGGUGAGCGGCGGACGGGUUAGUAACGCGUGGGAACGUACCCAGAUCUACGGAAUAGCCUCGGGAAACUGAGAGUAAUACCGUAUACGCCCUAAGGGGGAAAGAUUUAUCGGAUUUGGAUCGGCCCGCGUAAGAUUAGGUAGUUGGUGGGGUAAUGGCCUACCAAGCCUACGAUCUUUAGCUGGUUUUAGAGGAUGAUCAGCAACACUGGGACUGAGACACGGCCCAGACUCCUACGGGAGGCAGCAGUGGGGAAUCUUAGACAAUGGGCGCAAGCCUGAUCUAGCCAUGCCGCGUGAGUGAUGAAGGCCUUAGGGUCGUAAAGCUCUUUCGCCUGUGAUGAUAAUGACAGUAGCAGGUAAAGAAACCCCGGCUAACUCCGUGCCAGCAGCCGCGGUAAUACGGAGGGGGUUAGCGUUGUUCGGAAUUACUGGGCGUAAAGCGCACGUAGGCGGAUUAGAAAGUUGGGGGUGAAAUCCCGGGGCUCAACCUCGGAACGGCCUCCAAAACUCCUAGUCUAGAGUUCGAGAGAGGUGAGUGGAAUUCCGAGUGUAGAGGUGAAAUUCGUAGAUAUUCGGAGGAACACCAGUGGCGAAGGCGGCUCACUGGCUCGAUACUGACGCUGAGGUGCGAAAGUGUGGGGAGCAAACAGGAUUAGAUACCCUGGUAGUCCACACCGUAAACGAUGAAUGCCAGUCGUCGGCAAGUAUACUUGUCGGUGACACACCUAACGGAUUAA